UACGUAGGGUGCGAGCGUUGUCCGGAAUUACUGGGCGUAAAGAGCUCGUAGGUGGUUUGUCGCGUUGUUCGUGAAAUCUCACGGCUUAACUGUGAGCGUGCGGGCGAUACGGGCAGACUAGAGUACUGCAGGGGAGACUGGAAUUCCAGGUGUAGCGGUGAAAUGCGUAGAUAUCUGGAGGAACACCGGUGGCGAAGGCGGCAUCCUGGACCGACACUGACGCUGAGGAGCGAAAGCCAGGGGAGCAAACGGG
rnacentral:rRNA from 1 species